AGCGAACGCUGGCGGCAGGCUUAACACAUGCAAGUCGAGCGGGCAUCUUCGGAUGUCAGCGGCAGACGGGUGAGUAACACGUGGGAACGUACCCUUCGGUUCGGAACAACUCUGGGAAACUGGAGCUAAUACCGGAUACGCCCUUAUGGGGAAAGGUUUACUGCCGAAGGAUCGGCUCGCGUCUGAUUAGCUAGUUGGUGGGGUAACGGCCUACCAAGGCGACGAUCAGUAGCUGGUCUGAGAGGAUGAUCAGCCACACUGGGACUGAGACACGGCCCAGACUCCUCCGGGAGGCAGCAGUGGGGAAUAUUGGACAAUGGGCGCAAGCCUGAUCCAGCCAUGCCGCGUGAGUGAUGAAGGCCUUAGGGUUGUAAAGCUCUUUUGUCCGGGACGAUAAUGACGGUACCGAAAGAAUAAGCCCCGGCUAACUUCGUG
rnacentral:rRNA from 1 species